rnacentral:lncRNA from 1 species
AUUCUACAUGAAAUGAAGGAAAAAAACGUGUUAAAUUUGUCAACGUCGCUCCUCGCAGUCGCUAUCGAGAGUUGAGACUCGAAAAGUUAGAGGCUGGCCAGGUGCUCCAUACGUUAAGUUAGAAAGUGAUAUAAAAAUAAAAUGUUAUAAUUAUGCAGACGCAUUGAGUAUUGAUAAUAUUUUUAAUCGGAAACAGUGUGGUAUGCGAUUAACUGGAAAUUAAAUUAAACAUUUUUAUAUAACUGAUAAAUCUUGUGAGGAAGGGUGAAGGAAAAAGAGACAGAUGAAGCAGAAAAACGAGAAAAACAAACUAAUUUUAUUGGAAAUUAAAACAAAAUUGUAAUUUUGACAGUUAAUGUUUUUUUUAGAACAUUAGAACGUUAUAGCACAAGCAUCACGAAGGAGAAGCAGGAAACAUACAAAGAAUCAUGGUCCGUCAUAUACACAGCAAAAUUUAAAUAGUUAUAUACACAGUUAUAUAUGUUUAGAGCUUUCAAAAUUAAAGAUAUAUGAUGUCAUGA